GCUGCAUUACUGCUGUUGAUCAAUGCCAAAGCCAGAAGCACAAAACUGAGCAGAAGACGUGGCACCAUUUUUUAAACUUGUUAAAACUUCGGAUGUAAAAUAAAGACUAUAAUAAUUUUGGGUUCUGGAGAGAUUUUAUAAAACUAUUGGUUAUGACUCCUGGUUGUUGGAUUAGAUAAUGGUUGUGAAAUUUAUGGCUUGUUUUUCUCAGAUAGAGUCAAAUUUAUAGUGAUCGUUAGAGAUAUUUAUUUAUAGAAAGGAGAAAUGCAAAGAAAGGGAUAGAGGCUGAAGUGUUUGUUUUGCGUCGCUAGAAGAUGAAAAUAGAGGUAAAGGCAAAACAAGUGUGUCUACUGGAACUGAGACCUUAGGAGAAGCUAAAGCUUACGCGGAUGUGAUGAUGAGCGAAGUCGAAAUUAGGGAUGGAUAUUGAGACAGACAGAUCGUUACUAUGUCCCUAUAAGUAAGAUGUUUAAAAGAAGAACCUGUAGGGCCGGUUAAAAAUAGAUUUUAAAAUAAAUAUAAUGUGUAAACAAUUUCGUUCAAUAAUUUAUUGUUCGUAAUUUAGGUUUUUACACACACUAAAAUUUUGGUAAACCAAUGAUAAGAAUGUUAUUUUUGCUUCAUUGUAAAAGGUUAGAUUACAAUGCUUUUUCAGAUAGCUUUAUCGGUUUCCUUUUUUUAUGAUACAAUGCAAUUCCCUGAGAACAUUCAUUUUCGAACAAAGUUCUUUAAAGAUUCAUAAAUUAUAAAUGUACUUUGGAAUUUUUAAGGUAUCAUAGAUCAUUCUGAAAUAUUCAGUUCUCUCUUUGCGAGUAUAUGAUGACCAUGGUAUGGGGUUGAACUACAAAACACCGAGGAGUUCUUGCAGAAAUUGAUAUCAAAAGAUAAUGUUGUGAAAUCCGAUCCUGUGGCUUUGUACGACACGGAAUAAAGUCCCUAUCAGGGUGAGUCGAAAGAGAAAAUAGCUCUAUAAUGCAUAUAUUGUUAUCUUGGUCUUUAAAAAUAUACCGUAUAACGUAUCGCGGGCUUGUUGGCAUAGACUAUAAACUUAAUGCAUCCCCACAUGCAGGGGCGAACGCAGGGGGGGGGGGGGGUUAACAACCCAAAGUAAUUGAAUUUUUAAAUAAUAGAAUUUAAUUCUACAUAGUCAUUUGAAAAAUUGUAAUUCGUUGCUUUCAAAGCAAUCUUUCUGCCGACGAUAUAUGAAUAUGUAAAAUAAAUGAAUACAUUAGUCACUAACAGCGUUUUGAUACAAUUGUAUCUUUUUUGAUACUUUUUUUCUAAAUUUUGUGAUUUGAUACUUUUUUGUUCACAAACGGCCUAUUUUGAUACUUUUCUGCUGAUAGAAUUUAAUUUUUUGAAACUAUGAAAAUGUUAAACUAGGCCAAUUAAAAAACCCAGAAAAAUAUAAACUGGACAUAGACAUUUUUUUAAUUUUCUUCAAAGUAAUGAGUUUGUCUUAUAACUCUGUGGCUGCUGAACUGGAUUUUUUUAGAUUUAAGGGGAAUUGUGAGUCGAAAAUGGUCUUCUUUUGAAAAUUAGUUCUGAACUGAAAAGUCACCAAUAAGGUUUCUAUUAUUUUUUUUUAGAGUUUAUUGUUAAUCAUAAUACAGGAAAAAUAAAAAUUCAUUUAUUAUGACUUUCAGUUUUCGUUCCAUGAGUAAACUGACAAAACAAAUAAAUUUAAAUUAAAAAAAAAUUAUGCUAUUUGCAAAAAAAUACUUUAGUGUUUUAACUAAAAUGUCUAUAUUUUUAAUAAAAACAACCAGGAAAACCUGGUCUGAAUUAGAUACACAACUUUACUUAUUAUUUGUUUUUGAAAUGAAAAUUUUUAAAACAACGGUUGUGCUUUUGAUACUUUUUGAUACUUUUUUUGCUUGGCAACAUAUACUUAAUUUUUUUAGCUCGAGGCAACACUUGUCACUAAUGAUUAGAGCGUGAAUGAGAGUAGAACAAAUGAAUUAUGUGCGUACGCAAGAAUGAUAGAAGACAAGAUUACGACAGGCGUUUACAGUUAGCUUUUUUGGGUUUUGAGUUCCUGUUGAGUGACAACUUUCACGACCCAAAACAAAGAGCUGAAGUCAAGGCUAGUGUUUAAUUAUUAUUUAAAAUUCUAAGUGAAAAAUGUAUUAACUUGAAAAAGAAGUCCGCAAUGGCGGAAUUAAACAACAAUAGUACAAAAAAGUCGUCUAUAAAGAAUUUUUUUCACUUUUCCAACCAACAAAAAAGUUGGCGAAAUGGCGAACUUUUUGUAACAAAACAUAUAAUAUUAAUUAUAAAUAUGCAUGAUUAUAUUGGACCAUUUUAUAAAUGAAGAUUUUAAGAAUUACGUUCAUUGUGAUAUUUUAUCUGCACAUUAUUCAAUUUGGUUCACUAUGUUUCACAUUUCCGUUUUCCAUUUGACAAUUCUUCUGUUGCCUAUUCCCAUUCGUGGGUCGUGAACGCUUCAGCCUGUCGUAAUCUUGUCUUCUAUCAUUCUUGGUGCGUACGUGUGUUUUGUGCACUGUGCUAAUCACAGCUUAAAUUUAGCCAUCGCAACGACUUGCAAAAUACCUGCUAUAAGAAAUUGUAUUGGUUCCAUGAAAGAGACCGUAAAUCUUUUUCGGAUGUCAACUAAAGCAGGCACACUGCUCAAAAAUCUUAUUCUUGAAUCCUUUCCAAACUCAAAGCAAGUGAGGUUACUUAAAUUCUGCGAAACACGUUGGGUGGAGCAUUUAGAAUAUCUUUCUUUAUUUAACGAUUUAUUCCCAUUGAUCUGUACAGCGCUGGAAGAGCUUGAUACUGAAAAUUUAAGAAGUGAUUUAUCAAAGCCACAUGCUUUGUUGACUGCAAUCCAAUCACCUCAAUUUGUGAUUGCUAUGGCGAUACUAAAGCAAAUUUUUGCAUUAUCAAAACACAUAAGCCUAUGUUUGCAGCAAAUAGACUGUGAUUUGAGCAGCUACGUUGCUUAUGCAAAUAAUUUGUAUGCUGAAAUUAGUGAAAUGCGUAAGGAUUCUGAACAAUCGUUUAAACUAAUUUUUGAAUCAGUUAAAACAAUAGCCGCAGAAUUAGAUUUAGAAAUCAAAAUUCCGCGUUUGGCGAAACGGCAAACUAAUCGCGACAAUUAUGAAGGCGAACCGGAAGAAUAUUACCGCAGAUCAAUUUAUAUACCGUUUUUAGAUCAUUUUUUGGACCAAAUCAAUGAACGAUUUUUAAAACAUCGAGAGCUGCUUUCCAAAAUUGAAAACAUUUUGCCAAAUAAAUGCAUAAAUCUUGACGUUAUUGAGAUGCCGUAGACUGUUCGUGUUUUAGAAAAUCAAUGGUCCGCUGAUGUAGAAGAUCCCGAUGAUUUCGUUGCUGAAUAUAGAAUGUGGAAAAGGAACUGGUUAAAUCAAACAAAGAGAUGCAAAACUUUUUUAGACGCGUUGAAUUGUGGCGAUGCAAAAAUUUUCAAAACAGUGCAUCGUUUUUUAAAGAUUGGAGCAACAAUCCCUAUAUCUGUCGCUUCAAGUGAACGCUCGUUUUCCUCAUUUCGCAGGCUUAAAACAUAUUUAAGAAAUAAAACUGGAGAAGCACGCCUGAACGGAAUGGCUCUCUUGAAUAUCCAUAGAGAUAUAGACGUGACGGAGGAAGAGAUUUUAAAUGUUAUGGCCCAAAAUAAAAGAAGAUUAGACUUCAAUUUGUGAAUAAAAUAAUGAAACAUUGUUUUUUUACCUAACC